rfam:Triticum urartu cultivar G1812 contig481498, whole genome shotgun sequence.
CUUGUACUCCCUCCGUUCUAAAUUACUUGUCGCAAGUAUGGAUGUAUCUAGAUGUAUUUUAGUUCUAGAUACAUCCAUUUAUGCAACGAGUAAUUUGAAACGGAGGGAGUACUCU